AUGUAUGGCAGGAUGCAUAAGGCCAUCUUGGGAGUAUCUGUGCCUGCGCGGAGCUGCUGGGCUGAUGCGGGACACCGAGCGCCCGAAAAGGAAGACGGACACGCACGGUGGAGGAGAGCGGGAGAGGAGGGAGCAGCCAAGGAAGACAGGGCGUGGGGAGUGGGGCCUGCACACCUUCCGUCUCCGGGAAAGGAGCUACCUUCCCCGCUCGGGCCGUGGACCGGGCUGGAUUUGGGUCUGGGAGCAGAGCUGGCAGCCACUGCUGUGCAUCUGGCUGGCUGGGAGCGGGGGAAAUGUUUCCACCGAAGACCGACCGGGGCCAGGGUAAGUGAAGAAGGCUGCAAUGUGGCCGUGAUUGAGCAACGACAGCUAAGAAUGCGGAGAAUGAGAGGUCUCCGGGGAGAGCACAAAGGCCAGAGCCUUUGUCUGAUGUGUGAGUUUUACGGUAACCUCCUAAUGUCGUCUGUCCUGUGGGAUUCCGUCAGGGGGUGGUUCAGGCACGACCCAGGCAGCAGGGAGUUUGUGUACAAGGCCACAGCAUGUCCUCUAUGUCCACAGGAAUCUUUUUAAUAAGUUUAUUGGUACAUUUUCGGUACGCAUAACGAUCACAUUCAUCCUAGGGAAUCUGUGCCCGUGCAUAAUAGAUCUUGAUUCAUUUUUCCCCUCCCUUGCCCUCCCUUCAAACCCUCUUUCCCUUCUUUACUUACAAAAGCUUUGUUCUGCUUUUUCUUUUCUAGUUUUUGUCCUCUUCUCUUUCCUUUCCCCCACUCCGCUCCCUUGUUCCCCUUCCCCUUUGAACAUUUUCUUCCUAUUUCACAAUAACUUUUGCACAUUUUGGUCCUUAUUUACACUCUUGAUUUUGCACACCAGAGAGACGAUGUGAUAUUCACACGUGUGUCCGAUUUAUUUCACUUAAGAGUAUGAACUCAAGGUGCAUCUAUUUACCUAGAAAUAUCUCAUUUAUUCUUCUUUAUGGCUGAGUAGUACUCCAUUAUAUUAAAAAAACCCCACAUCUUCUUUAUCUGUUCAUUGGCUGAUGGGCAUUUGGGCUGUUUCCAAAAUUUAGCUAUUACAAACUAUACCACUGUAGGGCUGGAGAUUUAGCUCAGUGGUUUUUUUUUUUUUUUUUUUUUUUUUUUUUUUUUUUUUUUUUUUUGCAGGUUUAAUGUCCAGUCUUCUCUAUCUCCC
rnacentral:lncRNA from 1 species